CCUACGGGAGGCAGCAGUGGGGAAUAUUGCACAAUGGGGGAAACCCUGAUGCAGCGACGCCGCGUGAGUGAAGAAGUACUUCGUUAUGUAAAGCUCUAUCAGCAGGGAAGAAAAUGACGGUACCUGAGUAAGAAGCCCCGGCUAACUACGUGCCAGCAGCGGCGGGAAUACGUAGGGGGCCAGCGGUAUCCGGAUUUACUGGGUGUAAAGGGAGCGGAGACGGCAGUGCAAGUCUGGAGUGAAAGGCGGGGGCUCAACCCUCGGACUGCUCUGGAAACUGUACGGCUGGAGUGCAGGAGAGGUAAGUGGAAUUCCUAGUGUAGCGGUGAAAUGCGUAGAUAUUAGGAGGAACACCAGUGGCGAAGGCGGCUUACUGGACUGUAACUGACGUUGAGGCUCGAAAGCGUGGGGAGCAAACAGGAUUAGAUACCCCAGUAGUC
rnacentral:rRNA from 1 species